rfam:Pan troglodytes isolate Yerkes chimp pedigree #C0471 (Clint) chromosome 22, whole genome shotgun sequence.
GUGCUCGCUUCAGCAACACAUAUAUUAAAAUUGGAACGAUAUAGAGAAGAUUAGCAUGGCCGUUAAAUAAAAAAUUAAAAAAAAACAUUGAAUUGUAUUUUAUCUUU